GGGUUGAGUACCUGAAUUGUGACUUACUUCCCGUGUUAUCUAAAUGUUUAAAAUCAGUCAUUGUGUUAUCGUUUACGUAAGAUAUACGGUAUCCAGUGUAUGUAAAUUUUUGGUGAAUACUGCUGCAUGGUUGGUAGAGACUGACAACACGAGGAACCAUCCGACGGAGAUAUUGAAGCGAAUUUGUGUUCCUGAAGCACAAUUUGAAGUGUUAUCUGUGGCGGCCUUCAGUGACUGCAGGACUAGCUAACUACUGCUUCACUGUGAUUAAUCGUCAGCUGUAAACAUGGCUCGUCCUUCCCCGCUGGCACCAUGUCGUCCACGCUGCCGCGCACCCGCAGUGUGAGCGCCGCCUCAACCUCCUCCUCGGGCAGCAAGCAGGACCGGAUUCGUCCAGUGUCCGUGUGUGACACCUCGUGGUCCAGGAUGACUGGCCAGGAGCUCCGUCAGCAGCACCUGGUGAGGACACCGUCACAAGCCAACAACUUGUGCACCACCGUCCCGCAGAACCUCGUGGUGCAGAACCUUGGCGGCCGCCACACGCCCACCAGGAGCAGCCUCAGACACUCCCGCAUGAUCGUCCUCUCCAAGAACGGCAAAGCACCAGUACGUGACCGGCGGUGGGCUCCCAAUAGCCUUGGUCGUGCGGGCGUGCUGGUAGUGACGGCGCAGAUCCUGGUGGGCGUGAUGGGCGUAACGCUAGCGGCCUGGUUCCUGAUGUGGGCACCCAUUCUCAAGUUUAGGGAGGUCCCCCACUAUGCAGGCGUCCCGGUGUUCCUGGCGGGGGUGUGCGGCGCCAUCCUCAUCAGUUGCUUCCAGAGGCGCCGUCACAGUACACUUGGCAGCGUCAUCAAGGGCGUGUUGGUGGCACUGUGCUGUGUCAGCGUGGUCACCUGCCUGUGUGUGUGCAUCUUUACGGCGUUGCACCUCACCCAGCUGGCUGCCAUGACCUGCCACACCGAACACUCCACCCUCGCCCACCCCGACCACAGUCUCGCCGCGCCCGCCACGAAGGCCCUGCCCGGGAUGGAGGACGACGAGGACGAGGGUGAGGGCAGCGGCGGGGGCUGGGGAGACUCGACACUCUACGAGUACGAGUACGACGAUGUGGACGCCACCCUGGAAUUCGAGACCGUGACCCUAGAGAGUGUGACGGUAGACCUUGACCAGGGCGUGCUGCUCAACAUCACGACGUGCCUGUGCGAACAGCGAGGCCCAUCUUGGCGGAGGACAAAGUCUUACGCGAACUUGAGCUGUUUGGAGGUGAACAAUAUCUUGCCCAUCCUGUUCGUGGCGUCCUGCGUGGUGACGGCCAUCGGGGCGGUUCUGUCUGCUCUCAUCCUCUACCUCCUCUGGUCAUUUAAAAAUAGUUUCUACGGUCCUGCGAAGCCAUACGAGCGAAGACCGUUUAUAUUUACAAGUAACUUUAAGAACACUGCCAAAGCCAGCAAUGGGUCGAGCAAUAAAGUGUUGAACGGUGACUCCAGGUUCAGGUGACGAAGGUAACCGUGGAGUGUUAGAGGAUGCUGUGUGGGCGCGCUCAUCUGUCUCCGGGAACACAGGAACAGUGCACACUGAACGCCGGGAGCAUCUGCCGGCCGGUCAUGCUGCCGAGCCCGGUUCCGUGAAGAUGUGGACGCGCAAGUUUUUACGCUAGAAAAUGGAAUCGGCCUGAGCUAGCAUGUAAUAUAUAAAUGCGGGUGAAAAUAUUUUAAGUUAUGUUUUAUAUAUCUGAAUGUUACUGUGUAAUAGAAUAGAAUCUCUUAACUGUAGCAUAACACGGUACCGUCAGCAAAGACGAACAUUGUCACAAAGAUCGUGCUGACUGUCAGAGGUGCAUCUCUGCUGGUCUCCUGUUGACUUACCUUCCUGCAUCUACACACUACCUAUUGUUGCCAGCCGUGCGUUGAGUCGUGAGGAAUACAACAUUGCAGUGUUCCUGCACCUCCAUUUCCAUCCGGUCCAGGAGUCGGUGCUCUCGUGGUUCCUCCGCCUCUCAAGCCGUCACCUUCAAACAUCUUGAGAUCACCUCGUAUUCUCAAACUACAUGUCUCGCAGCAACAAGUGAAAGGCGAGACUAGAGACGCUCUUCAGAACAUGGCGCGCCCCACUGUUCUGGUUCUGGCUAUCGUGGUGUGUUUUCUAAGCGCCCACCUGCCUCCCGCUGCAUCCAGGCCUGCGCUACUGAAACCGGAAGAAAGCUACACCCCAGAACAACAGGCAGUCAUUAAGAUUGUGGACGACCUACUCAACCAACUGCUGAGACAGUUUUUGCAAGAACAUGGGGGAGAUACACCGCCAUUCAGCGCUGAGGAAGAAUUUCCUUACGCCGGGAAUUCUGCGGAGGAGCAGGUGCAGCCGAGGCCUUCCCUUGUUCCCCCUGCAAGGCCACCCCACCCUGAUGGUGCCGGAGGAGCGGAAUCUUAUGAAGUGUCCAGCACAAAUCUUGGAACACAGCCAGUGAAUGGUGGACGCAUAGUCUUCCCUUCAGACUAGGAAGACAACCUAUAGGAUCUGCUUUUAAUAUGUUUUUUUUUUCUUUUAUGUAUUUGUGUGGACUUCCAAAUCAUGCAUUCAUUGUCAUAAACUUAUUCUUCGUAAAACUGAAUCUCCUCUCUUUUUUCAAAACGCACUAAGUUAUCUGUAGUACUUUUGUUAGCUAUUGCUGUCAUAUUUUUUGUAACAUAUUCAUGAAUCAAAUAUGUGCAAUAU
rnacentral:misc_RNA from 1 species